rnacentral:rRNA from 1 species
CUACGGGUGGCUCCAGUAAGGAAUUUUCGUCAAUGGGGGAAACCCUGAACGAGCAACGCCGCGUGGAGGACGACGGUCUUCGGAUUGUAAACUCCUUUUAUGAGGGACGAUAAUGACGGUACCUCAGGAAUAAGCCCCGGCUAACUCUGUGCCAGCAGCCGCGGUAAUACAGAGGGGGCAAGCGUUGUCCGGAAUUACUGGGCGUAAAGAGCACGUAGGCGGUCGCGCAAGUGGUGUGUGAAACCAAUCAGCUCAACUGAUUGACGCCAUGCCAAGCUGCGCGACUAGAGUCAUGGAGAGGUUAUUCGAAUUGCUGGUGUAGUGGUGAAAUGCGUAGAGAUCAGCAGGAAGACCAAGGGCGAAAGCAGAUAACUGGCCAUGAACUGACGCUCAGGUGCGAAAGCGUGGGGAGCAAACUGGAUUAGAUACCCGCGUAGUC